CCGUCCUGAGCCUUGUUUUUGUCAUUUUGGGGCAGUUGGCCUUUCUGGCCUUGGUUUUCUCCUGGAUCUAUCAGGGAUCCUCGCAAAGCUUGUCCUGCCUUUCUGAGGGGGUCACUGCAGGGCUUGGUAAAGACACUUGUGUGAAGGAACCUUGUGACUUAUCGCAUGUGGCAGGGAAACCUAGCCGUUGGGAGCCUGAGACCGUGGGGAAGGCUGUGCGUUCUUUCAGAGGCUUUUCUUGUUGUCUGGGAGUUUGCAUGUCAUAGUCCAUGGUGGUAAAGAGCAGUGGCUGGGAGCCACUUGCUGGUUGUGUAACCUCGGGCCAGUCACUUACCCUGUCUGUGCCCUGACUCUCCAGUCUGUAAAAUGGUACAAUAAUAUAGUACCUGCUGGGCUGUCGUGAGCAUUAAAUAAAUGUGGCUGUGCAAGAGGAACGCUUAGAACCAUGCUUGGCACUCAGUAAGCGCCAGCUAACUGUUACUAUCGCCACCACUGCUUCCCUAGCAUGUCACUCCUGUCUGCUCUUUUCCACGCUGCUGCUGUGCUAGGAGCCUGCAGACCAGAGCUCAGCUGGAAGGCCAGCUGGCCUGUGCGGGCCUCCGCCGCUGUGUUUGCAGAGGGUUGAGCUAUGCAGCAGGAAGUCAGUAUUUGCUGCAGUGAGGUGUGGUUAUUGCUAUUCUGUUAAAUCCAGGGCGUGGCAGGUCCCUCCGGUCGCUCCCCUCAGGGACACCUGGGGCUGCUCCUCUGCUCUCCCUCACCCCGCAGUGACCACCAGGCUUGGGAGAGACGCUCAAGAUUGUAUCCUACACAAAGAGGUGGGGACCCUGGCUCUGGCAAUUUCAGCGUUUCAACCCUCAUGUGGACUCCUUCAGCGUGUCUUGAUGUUAAAUGUGCAGAUAUACAAUAAUCUAGUAUUCUUUCUCUUUUUUUUUUUUUUUUUUUUACUCGAUGAAGCUUCAUUU